GUAGUGCGGGAAGUGUCUGUGAAGCCAUCUUAUGAAUAUGUUGAACAAGUAAAGAAUGUUCUUUUCAUGUCUAAUAAACAAGAACUUUCAACUAUAAUGGAAAGAUAUAGAGGAAAAGCACCCGAACCUUUGUGCAGCCAGUUUCCCAACAAACGAUCCAAGGCUGAGGCAGUAAAAAAAUAUGUUGCGAGGAACAAGCAUGUCAGUCAUGCACUUUAUCCAUGCUUGGAACAGUAAAGACAGCAGUUACAAGACCUAACAGAUGAUGCAGAUCAAAUAUUAAAUAGCUCUGGGAAUAAAAGUACUCGCAAAUGUACUAAAUGCAAAGCUCCAAUGAAAGGACAUCCUCGAGGUCAAUGCUUCACU